UUUCCACGCCCCCAUCCCCCCUCGGCCGCCGGAGCGUUGCUGUCGCAGGAGCGCGCGGGAAAAGGGUGGAAGAGAACAGCCAGUCUCCGCUUCAUCCGCAGGCUGCAAGGGACCAACAACAACACUGCUUCUUGGCAGGGAUCUGAGGCAAAACAUGCACAUCUCCGGCUAUAAUCAGAGUGACGGUCUAGGAUGGAGUUUCAAGGCCAUUUGCCAAACAAAGCAGGUUCAGUGCAUAAUCCCUGUGUUUAACUUUCUGGUUAGCCUACUUUAAGUGGAGGUUUUGGGCCUCUGUGUAUAAAUUGCUUAAUAUUUGAAAUGUUCCUUUGUGGCAAGUCUCAGCCCACGAGUAUCAGAUAGCAAAAUAAAUGAAAUAAUAAAAUGGAAGCUGUAGGACUUCUAAGGCCACUUGCUAUAGCUGCAAAGAAUCAAACUGAGUGACCUAUACCAGGAAUAGAGACAGUGGAUGUCCACAAAUAGCAGAGGUGCGGGUAAUGGAAAUGCUAAGAGAGUGGGUAGACUAAAGGACACAACAUUUUUAGGAAUGGAUGCCCGCCUUAGCUGGAGUGAAACAAGUUCAAUAUUUUUUCUUUAGAUAAGAUGCUUGUGUCCUCUGCAGUGUAAAAGGAAAAGGAUUUUGAAUCAACUGCACUUCAAUUUGAGGGUACUAGUAGUUCUUUUCCCAUUAUACUUGUUAAUUAGUCAACUAAGUAUAUAAUCCCCAAGGUAAAAAUAGGACACUUACCCACAGCUACAAAGACAUUUUCAAGAUCACCUGACAUCUCAGAUUUAAUGCUGUCUAUGAUAUCCUUAUCUGUGACCCUUUGGUAUUCAUCAAAGACUGGAAAAAGAAAGCACAAGUGGAAAACCGAAGUGAGACUUUCAAAUGCAAUACACAAAAAAUAUUACCCCCAAGGAUUAGUUUGCCAGAAUACCCAGCUGAAUACCUAGUGUACACUUCACUUUAUUUAGUUUGAAAACUCCACUGGAGAUAAUAGUAUAAAAAUUAAUUCAUUUGAUCUUAAGGUUGGGUAUAUAAUCUUUGAGAAUUGGCCGAUCAAUAACAGCUGGAAAUACUGCUGUGAAUUAUUAAUGGUGACAGGGGUUGCUUAGGACUUGUUCACAGCCUUCCACAACAAUUAUUCCACCUUAACUCACUAUGUGAAUAGUCCUGAAUCAGUAAAGGUCUGAAUUGUCUCAAUUCCUUUGCCAAGUAAGUUAAUAGUCCAUCUAUAAGGAAUGGAGUCCAGAAUAAAUAAAUAAAGCAGCCCAUCCAAUGCAAACUAAACAGCUUGCAAUGCAGGCACUUGUGGAUGGUAUUCCAAAUAGCAGAAAUAUGGAAUGAAAAGGGUACUGCUACCUGCAAUGGUACAAGUAGUGCACAAGUGAAGAUGGCCCCAUUUGGGACAUCUCUUCAGAAUUUCUGCUAACAGGCUACUGCACAUUUCUCAGCAAACUGAGAGAGAAACUGAAGAGUAGAGGCACAGUCUGUUGUACUGUAGUGGCCGAUGAAGCAUCAUUACAGCUCAGCACCACACACAGACAAGUGAGCACAGAGUAAAGAUAACUGGUACCAUUCAGCUUCUUCUUUCUGCACAGUUAUAGUGGAAUCUUACUCCAGAAUAAAGAGCAUCCAUUUAAGAAAUCCUCCCAGAGCUCAUCUCUCUUUCAGCUCACGUUCUACCUCAAAUCAGGAUUCAUUUUCUCGAUGACAGGUCCUUAUUUUUCCUUUUUGGGAUCACAUUCUGCCACAAGAGGGAGCUUUAUUCCCAUCAGCACUUAGAGUCCACCAGCUCUACAGGAGCCAUUAUCAAGUUCAUACAGGAUGCAGUUGGAAAACAUCUAAGUUAACUGAUAAGAGCUUGUACUUGGGUCUCUGAAGAAGAAUUUUGCCAAGAAACUUGCUCCUACACUCUGUUGCUUGCUAACUGUGGCUACCAGAGCCUUAUCUAUCUCUGGCUUAAAGCCUAGCAUGCAAGUUAUUUUGACAGGUGCAGAUCUCCUCUCUCAGCAGUUUCUUUUGGGCUCAGAAGGGCAGGCACUGAAUGAAAAUGGUUUGAAGCAGACAUGUCCCCUUGGAACUGGGUCUCGGCUGCACUUUGGGAAAGGUGAGUUCUGUUCCUUGUACAGAGGAUAGAUAGGAAUUGUUCCUCAUCGGUUCCAAAUUUCUUCUCCCCGGCAUGGUAGAGGCACUAGAAAGCAGCAAGACCAUAGCAUAAUGUGGAAGGUAAAACUAAUGUCCAGAAAGACUAUGAGCUCAGCAAAUACCAGAAGGAGGAACCAUAUCCUCUAAGAAAAAUCCAGAUUACUACAGACCUGGGCA